AUUUUAAUGUCAGAUACAUAUACAACCACAACAAAUACACAUACUUGUACACAUAUGAAUUAUUUAUGAUCAAGCACAAUGUAAACUUGUAAGUAAAGCCAAAUAUUUUAACUUUUCCUUUGCCUCUGUUGAUAUUCACUGAAAUAGGGAAAAUUAUAAAGGUAGUACAAUUCAUAUCAAUUUGGAAAUAUAAGAAACAAUCUUCUUAAGCAAAUUCAGGUAGAACAUGUUUCAAGGCUGCUUGUUAGUCUAUGUAUAUGUGUAAAUAUGCAUUUGUGUGUAAGAACAUGUGUGUGUAGUUUUGCCCUCUAUAAAUAUUAAAGUUCAGCAUUCAAACCUCUGCUUUGGAGUUGUACGUUGCUCUUUGUAAUAAAUUAAUUCGGUAAAGGGGCCUUAGCAUGUGUUUAAAAACAUUUUUAGGAAAAGCUAAAAACAAAUACAUAGUUUGAAAGAAAACAUUUCCACUGUGCUUUUCAACUAGUCUACAACAGAAUAGUUGAAAACAGCUUCUCACGACUUCCCUGGCUUCAAAAAGAACUUUCUCAGAAUUCUCCUUUGUGUUUGAAAAAAUAAUGAAUCAAUCAAUUAAAAACACCUCAAAUGCAAUCUAUGAAAUGUACUUCUCUAUUCUGCAAUCAGCAACACUGAUCAAUAAUUGAGCUCUCUUUUCUUUUGGGCUUCAUCAAAAACUAUUUUUUCCAUGAGAAAGAAAGGGAAGGAAUAAAAAGAAAUCCAAAAUUACAGUGGAAAAUAUGUAACCUUUUUACAGCAGGAGGGAGGUUAACUGUGCAAACACGUUAUUUAAAAUGACUACGAGUUGGCUUUCAUCUGCACCCAUUGAAUGAAGGGAUGAUUAUUUACAAAGCAGUUUUGCCUCUGGCAUGGACCUCUUUGGAUGGCUGCUAAGGAAACCUGAGGAGGCUGUGACAGGCCCUUUAUUAACAGCAAAAUGAUAAUUUUCAAACAAGUGAUCAAUUCUGGAACAAAGGACAAGCAUAGCAUUUACUGAUAAUGCAAUGCCCAGACCCUGGCCAGCAUUAUAAGGACAAGAUCACAGGAUGCAUUUUAUUUGCAUAUUAUUUCAUUAGCAUUUACCUUGUCUAAGCAAAUAGAGGCUACAUAUGGAGCCCAGAAGAAGUCACCACCCCUGCAUGAAAGGUUUUUGACCUAAUCUAGCCAAACUCAGGAACCAGUAAAAAGAGGAAUACAAACACACACAUCUUGUCUAAAUUCCAAUGGUGCAAUUAACUUCUGCCUACAUAAAAUUGUUCAUGCCACUCUCACUUGAGAAGUUAUUUUUCCAGCUCCCUUCCUGAAUGCUGUUGUGCUGUGGAGCUGCUGUCAUAUUCAACCCCACAGGUGCUUGCAUAUCAGUGGUGGGUGAGCAAUCUGUAGAUAAAACCAGGAAGACAUUUGAAGGUCUUCUGUGUGAAAGGUGUAAUAUACAUAUGAAGCGUUGUUCAUCUCCUUUGGGGUGGGGGGCUCAGUUAACAUUGACAUGUAAUACUAAUCGGUAAAACAGCCUGGUAAACUCACUCUAUUAUCAGGACUUGGUUUUGCUUUAAGAGGAAAUUUCAAAGUGUAUCACCUCUGAUUGUUCAAAUGCCAUAUAAUACCAAUACUUAGGACCUCAAAUGUACCUUUGCUUGAGAAUGUCAAGAUGCCACGGAACUUUGUGCUUUCCUUUGCAGAUUUUACGUGUAGACGGUAAUUGAGGUGAUACAACCAGUGAAUAGGGAAUUAUUUUAAACUUCUUCUGCUGAGUUAAGAAAAAUCUCUGGUGCAGAAGCUCCUUACAGUAAACACAUGAAAAUACUUCUUAUAGUUAUUAGCAAAUUAAAUAACAAUAGAAGUCUCUUAAAGUGUAACAACCUGAUUUAAAAAAAUUUUUGAUACGUUAUAUUUGUACAUAUUUAUGAAGUAUAGGUGAAAUAUUGUUACAUGCAUAGAAUGUGUAAUGAUCAAGUCAGAGUAUUUAGAGUAUCCACCAUCUGAGUACUUAUUAUUUAUUAUUUCUACAUAUUGAAUACAUUUUAAGUCCUCUCUUGUAGCUAUUUUGAAAAAUACUAUACAUUUUUAACUAUAAUCACCAUACUCUGCUAUUCCUUCUAUCUAACUAUAUGUUUGUACCUAUCUAACAAUCUCUCUUUAUCUUUAAUCCCUGUAUGCUGUUCCUAGUUUCUGGUAUCUAUGAUUCCACUCCCUACCUUCAAUGUGCUCAACUUUUC
rnacentral:lncRNA from 10 species